rnacentral:rRNA from 1 species
GAUGAACGCUAGCGGAAGGCCUAAUACAUGCAAGUCGAGGGGUAUAGGAGGCUUGCUUCCUAGAGACCGGCGCACGGGUGCGUAACGCGUAUGCGACCUACCCUUUUCUGGGGGAUAGCCCGAAGAAAUUCGGAUUAAUCCCCCAUAGCAUUAUCGAUUCGCAUGUUUUGAUAAUUAAAGGUUACGGUAUAAGAUGGGCA